UCAUUCUAGAUACACUUUCCAGUACAUCUACUAUGUUACGACUUAUCUUACCUUAAUAAUAAGAGCGACGGGCGAUGUGUACAUAUUUUAGAGCUAAAAUCAAAUUAUUAAUCUUUAUAAUUUUACAACCAAAUCCACCUUCAAAAACUUUUUCAUAAUUUUAUCCGUUUAAAUAAAUUUAUUGUAACCCAUUAUUACUUAAACAUAAGCUACACCUUGAUCUGAUAUAAAUUCUGAUAAAAAUUAUUGAAUAUUAUUAUUCUUAUAAAAUAUUCUGAUAACGACGGUAUAUAAACUGAUUACAAAUUUAAGUAAGGUCCAUCGUGGAUUAUCGAUUACAAAACAGGUUCCUCUGGAUAGACUAAAAUACCGCCAAAUUUUUUAAGUUUCAAGAACAUAACUAUUACUACUUUAAUAUU
rnacentral:rRNA from 1 species